UAAUCGGGUUUGUUUAAAUGGAGGGAUGAGUAAAAAGGAAACUUUGUCUAUUUGUUUUUUAAUUUCAACGUUCCUUGGGUAUAAAGAACCAACUUUGAGUACAUUGUUGUUGUUGUAGAAAAAGCUAAAAGCUAAAAUAUGCUUUCUUCUCUCAUUUUGCACUGCUUAUUUCAGUUUCAUCUUUUUAAGUCUUGUCUUGUUUGUAGUUUAGAGGAUAACUAAAUAAACUAUUCAAUUUCAUUAUGGAGUAGUGACGAUACAAAGUAGUAGUUUGCAAUACUAAAGUGAACACCAAAGGUUUUGUUGUCCGGCAAAUUUUCCAUUGCUGAAAUGCUACCUUCAACACCGAAUGGACUCUGCUGCUACCUUCAGCCUCAGGGUGAUGGUUAUGUAGAUAAAGCCUUUCCCAAUUUUUAAAAUCCUUCAUUGCAAAUAUGUGCCGGCUAGGGUGGGUGACGAGCUCAUUCAUGUUCAGUAUCUUCAGCAACCUCAUACAGUCGUUGUAUAAAGAAGCUCUAUUUGAUAACAUGACUUCUGAUAGAUUAAAUCCUGUUUCAGGUGAUGAUGAUGCUGUUGUUACGAUUUCUAAUUUCACUUGCCAUUUGAGGAUCUGACUAAGGAAGAUUUUUCGCACGAUGAAUCAACGAACAAGAGAAAACGUUCCAGGGACUGGAAUCCAAAUAGCAGAAGUUGUUUGAGUUGGAUGGCCUAAUCUCACUAAUCAGAUCCAACCAACUGGCUGGAAGAAAGUAUACGGGGAAACCCAUCUGCAAAAUAUUUACACUAAAGCAUUAUAAUUUAUACUAUUAUGUUUAUCAUUUGAUACUGGUGUAUAUCUCAUCCGCUUAUUUUAAAGUUUU